ACAUAACUGAUGCCUCCGCGUAUCGACUUUGUGCGCAUUUUAGCUAUUAUGUGUUCUUUUAAUUAAAAUGAUUCUUUUUAAGAUUCAUCUAUUAAAAAUUUGCUUCGGUAUAAUUUUUUUUGAUGAUCUUGUUACUUUGAGUAAAUUAGAGUGUUCAAAGCAAACAGAUAUAGCAUUUGUGCGUUUGAAUACUACAGCAUGGAAUAACAAAAUUGAACAAGUCAGAAUUUUUUUGUUCUUUUUUCUUAUUUUGGCUUAGUUACGAUUAAUAGGAGUAGCUUGGGGGCAUUUGUAUUCAGAUGUCAGAGGUGAAAUUCUUAGAUUUUCUGGAGACAAACAACUGCGAAAGCAUUUGCCUAAAAUACUUCCAUUAAUCAAGAACGAAAGUUAAGGGAGUGAAGACGAUCAGAUACCGUCGUAAUCUUAACCAUAAACUAUGCCGACUAGGCUUUGGAUGAAAGAUUUUAAAAUAAGAGUUUUUCUUUUCUCUCCGGAGAUUAGGACUCUUAGAUUGCUUCCUUCAGUGCCUUAUGAGAAAUCAAAGUCUUUGGGUUCUGGGGCGAGUAUUCGCGCAAGCGAGAAAGUUAAAAGAAUUGACGGAGGGGCACCACCAGGCGUGGAGCUUGCGGCUUAAUUUGACUCAACACGGGAAAACUCACUAGUUUAAGACAAGAGUAGGAUUGACAGAUUAAUAGCUCUUUCUUGAUUUCUUGGAUGGUGAUGCAUGGCCGUUUUUAGUUCGUGAAUAUGAUUUGUCUGGUUAAUUCCGAUAACGAACGAGAUCUUAACCUGCUAAUUAGCGGCAAAUACGAUAUAUUCUUAUGUAGAAUUGAGUAUAGUGGAUUUGUUGGAUUUUGAAGAAAAUAUUGGAAUUACGUUUAAAUGUGAUUCCUUUCCCUUUUCUACUUAAUUUACAUUUCCAUCUAUUUCUUUUUUGCGUAUGAAUGUAUUUGCUUGAUUGUAAAGCUUCUUAGAGGAACGAUGUGUG
rnacentral:rRNA from 1 species